rnacentral:rRNA from 1 species
GCACACCGCGUGAGUGAGAGGGUUUCGGCUCGUAAAGCUCUGUUGUUAAAGAAGAACACGUAUGAAAGUAACUGUUCAUACGUUGACGGUAUUUAACCAGAAAGUCACGGCUAACUACGUGCCAGCAGCCGCGGUAAUACGUAGGUGGCAAGCGUUAUCCGGAUUUAUUGGGCGUAAAGAGAGUGCAGGCGGUUUUCUAAGUCUGAUGUGAAAGCCUUCGGCUUAACCGGAGAAGUGCAUCGGAAACUGGAUAACUUGAGUGCAGAAGAGGGUAGUGGAACUCCAU